rnacentral:rRNA from 1 species
GACGGAGGAGGCAAGCGUUAUCCGGAAUUAUUGGGCGUAAAGCGUCCGCAGGUGGCGAUUCAAGUCUGCUGUCAAAGGUCGGGGCUUAACCCCGGGAAGGCAGUGGAAACUGAAUAGCUAGAGUGCGGUAGGGGGAGAGGGAAUUCCCGGUGUAGCGGUGAAAUGCGUAGAGAUCGGGAAGAACACCAGUGGCGAAAGCGCUCUGCUGGGCCUGCACUGACACUGAGGGGCGAAAGCUAGGGGAGCAAACGGG